rnacentral:rRNA from 1 species
GAUGAACGCUGGCGGCGUGCCUAAUACAUGCAAGUCGAGCGAACAGACGAGGAGCUUGCUCCUCUGACGUUAGCGGCGGACGGGUGAGUAAAACGUGGAUAACCUACCUAUAAGACUGGGAUAACUUCGGGAAACCGGAGCUAAUACCGGAUAAUAUAUUGAACUGCAUGGUUCAAUAGUGAACGACGGUUUUGCUGUCACUUAUAGAUGGAUCCGCGCCGCAUUAGCUAGUUGGUAAGGUAACGGCUUACCAAGGCAACGGUGCGUAGCCGACCUGAGAGGGUGGUCGGCCACACUGGAACUGAGACCCGGUCCAGAGUCCUACAGGAGGCAGCAGUAGGGAAUCUUCCGCGAUGGGCGAAUGCCUGACAGAGCAACACCGCGUGAGUGAUGAAGGUCUUCGGAUCGUAAAACUCUGUUAUUAGGGAAGAACAAAUGUGUAAGUAACUAUGCACGUCUUGACGGUACCUAAUCAGAAAGCCACGGCUAACUACGUG